rnacentral:rRNA from 1 species
AACGAACGCUGGCGGCAUGCCUAACACAUGCAAGUCGAACGAGACCUUCGGGUCUAGUGGCGCACGGGUGCGUAACGCGUGGGAACCUGCCCUUAGGUUCGGAAUAACUCCCCGAAAGGGGUGCUAAUACCGGAUAAUGUCUUCGGACCAAAGAUUUAUCGCCUUUGGAUGGGCCCGCGUUGGAUUAGCUAGUUGGUAGGGUAAAAGCCUACCAAGGCGACGAUCCAUAGCUGGUCUGAGAGGAUGAUCAGCCACACUGGGACUGAGAUACGGCCCAGACUCCUACGGGAGGCAGCAGUGGGGAAUAUUGGACAAUGGGCGAAGGCCUGAUCCAGCAAUGCCGCGUGAGUGAUGAAGGCCUUAGGGUUGUAAAGCUCUUUUACCCGGGAUGAUAAUGACAGUACCGGGAGAAUAAGCUCCGGCUAACUCCGUG